rnacentral:rRNA from 1 species
UGAGGAAUAUUGGUCAAUGGGCGCAAGCCUGAUCCAGCAAUGCCGCGUGCAGGAUGAAGGCCUUCGGGUUGUAAACUGCUUUUGUACGGAACGAAAAGCUUCUGGUUAAUACCUGGGAGUCAUGACGGUACCGUAAGAAUAAGCACCGGCUGACUACGUGCCAGCAGCCGCGGUAAUACGUAGGGUGCAAGCGUUAAUCGGAAUUACUGGGCGUAAAGCGUGCGCAGGCGGUGAUGUAAGACAGGUGUGAAAUCCCCGGGCUUAACCUGGGAAUUGCAUUUGUGACUGCAUCGCUGGAGUGCGGCAGAGGGGGAUGGAAUUCCGCGUGUAGCAGUGAAAUGCGUAGAUAUGCGGAGGAACACCGAUGGCGAAGGCAAUCCCCUGGGCCAGCACUGACGCUCAUGCACGAAAGCGUGGGGAGCAAACA